rnacentral:tRNA from 1 species
GGUGGGGUUCCCGAGCGGCCAAAGGGAGAAGACUGUAAAUCUGCCGUCAUCGACUUCGAAGGUUCGAAUCCUUCCCCCACCACCA